AUUGAACGCUGGCGGAAUGCUUUACACAUGCAAGUCGAACGGCAGCACGGACUUCGGUCUGGUGGCGAGUGGCGAACGGGUGAGUAAUGUAUCGGAACGUGCCCAGUCGUGGGGGAUAACGUAGUGAAAUUACGCUAAUACCGCAUACGAUCUAUGGAUGAAAGCGGGGGAUCGCAAGACCUCGCGCGAUUGGAGCGGCCGAUAUCAGAUUAGGUAGUUGGUGGGGUAAAGGCCUACCAAGCCAAUGAUCUGUAGCUGGUCAGAGAGGACGACCAGCCACACUGGAACUGAGACACGGUCCAGACUCGUACGGGAGGCAGCAGUGGGGAAUUUUGGACAAUGGGCGAAAGCCUGAUCCAGCCAUUCCGCGUGCAGGAUGAAGGCCCUCGGGUUGUAAACUGCUUUUGUACAGAACGAAAAGGUUUCUACUAAUACUAGGAGCUCAUGACGGUACUGUAAGAAUAAGCACCGGCUAACUACGUGCCAGCCGCCGCCGUAA
rnacentral:rRNA from 1 species